UACUCAAUGAAUCUUCGGAAGAAUUGAAUAAUGGAAAGCGGCGGACGGGUGAGUAACGCGUGGGCAACCUGCCUUUCACAGAGGGAUAGCCAAAGGAAACUUUGAUUAAAACCUCAUAAAGCCGAAAUGUUGCAUAGCAAGACGGCCAAAGAUUUAUCGGUGAAAGAUGGGCCCGCGUCUGAUUAGUUAGUUGGUGGGGUAACGGCUCACCAAGGCGACGAUCAGUAGCCGACCUGAGAGGGUGAUCGGCCACAUUGGAACUGAGACACGGUCCAAACUCCUACGGGAGGCAGCAGUGGGGAAUAUUGCACAAUGGGCGCAAGCCUGAUGCAGCAACGCCGCGUGAACGAAGAAGGCCUUCGGGUCGUAAAGUUCUGUCCAUAGGGAAGAAACAAAUGACGGUACCUGUGGAGGAAGCCCCGGCUAAAUACGUGCCAGCAGCCGCGGUAAUACGUAUGGGGCAAGCGUUAUCCGGAAUUAUUGGGCGUAAAGAGUGCGUAGGUGGUGGCUUAAGCGCAGGGUUUAAGGCAAUAGCUUAACUAUUGUUCGCCUUGCGAACUGGGUCACUUGAGUACAGGAGAGGAAAGCGGAAUUCCUAGUGUAGCGGUGAAAUGCAUAGAUAUUAGGAGGAACACCGGUGGCGAAGGCGGCUUUCUGGACUGCAACUGACACUGAGGCACGAAAGCGUGGGUAGCAAACAGGAUUAGAUACCCUGGUAGUCCACGCCGUAAACGAUGAGCACUAGGUGUCGGCCAAUAAAGGUCGGUGCCGCAGUUAACGCAUUAAGUGCUCCGCCUGGGGAGUACGCACGCAAGUGUAAAACUCAAAGGAAUUGACGGGG
rnacentral:rRNA from 1 species